AUUGAACGCUGGCGGCAGGCCUAACACAUGCAAGUCGAACGGUAACAGGGAUCAGCUUGCUGAUUCGCUGACGAGUGGCGGACGGGUGAGUAAUGUCUGGGAAACUGCCUGAUGGAGGGGGAUAACUACUGGAAACGGUAGCUAAUACCGCAUAACGUCGCAAGACCAAAGAGGGGGACCUUCGGGCCUCUUGCCAUCGGAUGUGCCCAGAUGGGAUUAGCUAGUAGGUGGGGUAACGGCUCACCUAGGCGACGAUCCCUAGCUGGUCUGAGAGGAUGACCAGCCACACUGGAACUGGGACACGGUCCAGACUCCUACGGGAGGCAGCAGUGGGGAAUAUUGCACAAUGGGCGCAAGCCUGAUGCAGCCAUGCCGCGUGUAUGAAGAAGGCCUUCGGGUUGUAAAGUACUUUCAGCGGGGAGGAAGGGAGUAAAGUUAAUACCUUUGCUCAUUGACGUUACCCGCAGAAGAAGCACCGGCUAACUCCGUG
rnacentral:rRNA from 1 species